rnacentral:rRNA from 1 species
UUAAACUGAAGAGUUUGAUCCUGGCUCAGAUUGAACGCUGGCGGCAUGCCUAACACAUGCAAGUCGAACGGUAACGAUGGAAGCUUGCUUCCAGGCGACGAGUGGCGGACGGGUGAGUAACGCGUAGGAAUCUACCCUGUAGUGGGGGACAACCUGGGGAAACCCAGGCUAAUACCGCAUAAUCUCUACGGAGGAAAGGGGGCUUCGGCUCUCGCUACUGGAUGAGCCUGCGUCAGAUUAGCUUGUUGGUGGGGUAACGGCCUACCAAGGCGACGAUCUGUAGCUGGUCUGAGAGGACGAUCAGCCACACUGGGACUGAGACACGGCCCAGACUCCUACGGGAGGCAGCAGUGGGGAAUAUUGGACAAUGGGGGCAACCCUGAUCCAGCAAUGCCGCGUGUGUGAA